GAUCCUGGCUCAGGACGAACGCUGGCGGCGCGCCUAACACAUGCAAGUCGAACGGAGCUAUGUUGAAAGCUUGCUGGAUAUAUAGCUUAGUGGCGGACGGGUGAGUAACACGUGAGCAACCUGCCUUUCAGAGUGGAAUAACGUUUGGAAACGAACGCUAAUACCGCAUAACGUCAGAGGAUGGCAUCGUCUUUUGUACCAAAGAAUUUAUUCGCUGAAAGAAUGGGCGUCGCGGCCG
rnacentral:rRNA from 1 species